rnacentral:rRNA from 1 species
UACGUAGGGUGCAAGCGUUGUCCGGAAUUAUUGGGCGUAAAGAGCUCGUAGGCGGUCUGUCGCGUCGGAUGUGAAACCUCGGGGCUCAACCCCGAGCCUGCAUUCGAUACGGGCAGACUAGAGUUCGGUAGGGGAGACUGGAAUUCCUGGUGUAGCGGCGAAAUGCGCAGAUAUCAGGAGGAACACCGGUGGCGAAGGCGGGUCUCUGGGCCGAUACUGACGCUGAGGAGCGAAAGCGUGGGGAGCGAACAGG